CUUCGACGAGUCGAGUAGUUUGGGAAUGCUGCUCAAAAUGGGAGGUAAAUUUCUUCUAAAGCUAAAUACCGGCCAGAGACCGAUAGCGCACAAGUAGAGUGAUCGAAAGAUGAAAAGCACUUUGAAAAGAGGGUUAAAAAGUACGUGAAAUUGUUGAAAGGGAAGCGCCUGUGACCAGACUUGCGCCCCGCGGACCACCCGGCGUUCUCGCCGGUGCACUCUGCGGUGCGCAGGCCAGCAUCGGUUCUCCCAGGGGGACAAAGGCCGCGGGAACGUAGCUCCUUCGGGAGUGUUAUAGCCCGCGGCGGCAUGCCCCUGGGGGGACCGAGGACCGCGCUUCGGCAAGGAUGCUGGCGUAAUGGUCACCAGCGACCCGUCUUGAAACACGGA
rnacentral:rRNA from 1 species